GUAGGGAAUAUUGCACAAUGGAGGAAACUCUGAUGCAGCGACGCCGCGUGAGUGAUGAAGGCCUUCGGGUCGUAAAACUCUGUGAUAAGGGAAGAUGAUGACGGUACCUUAUCAGAAAAGACCGGCUAACUUCGUGCCAGCAGCCGCGGUAAUACGAGGGGUCUAAGCGUUGUUCGGAAUCACUGGGCGUAAAGCGGGUGUAGGUGGCUAUGCAAGUUGGAUGUGAAAGCCCCGGGCUCAACCCGGGAAGUGCAUCCAAAACUACGUAGCUUGAGUGCGGGAGAGAAAGGCAGAAUUCCUGGUGUAGUGGUGAAAUACGUAGAUAUCAGGAGGAACUCCGCUGGCGAAGGCGACCUUUUGGCCCAGCACUGUCACUCCGACCCGAAAGCGUGGGUAGCAAACAGGAUUAGAAACCCGUGUAGUCC
rnacentral:rRNA from 1 species